UGAUAAUAUGAAGCGUCCAUUCGAGACGAAUCGGUUGUUGCAGCGAAGUCAGACCCAAGGAGAUUGUUCUCUUUCAAUAAGUCACUUUUUGGUACUGUUUAGGACUGCGUAUAUACUUCUUUUCUUACGUAGCACACAACACGCAGCAUCCUUAUCUGAUCAAUAAUAACAUACAACAACAUAUUCAUUUCACUGAUUUGAAUUGAAUUUAUUUUCCAUUAUGGUUGCUGUCACUUAUUUGGACCUUGCCUUUUAUGUUUUUUUCUUCUUAUUGGGCGUACUAAUCUUCACUGCCAUAAGUCGAAAUCGAUAGAACUGCCUCAUCACAACAACCGAUGUCAAACAAAAGAAAAAAAUGUUUUCACCGGCACAGUUUUGGGCGAGAGAUACGGCGAUAAGGCAGGAGUGAAGAAGUGUGCCUAUACAUGGCGACUAGACGGGAAAAUACACAAAAUUCAUCUCGCCGCAUCGCCUACAAUUUCCAGUGAACGACAAGACAUUCCGUCAUAAUAUAUUAGAAUAUUAGAAACAAUGGCCAUGUACAAAAUAGUAAAAUUUGAGUAAAUAAAAAAUUCAGUUCAGACCUUUAA